AUUGAACGCUGGCGGCAUGCUUUACACAUGCAAGUCGAACGGUAACAGGGUGCUUGCACCGCUGACGAGUGGCGAACGGGUGAGUAAUGCGUCGGAACGUGCCGAGUAGUGGGGGAUAACGCAUCGAAAGGUGUGCUAAUACCGCAUACGUACUGAGGUAGAAAGUGGGGGACCUUCGGGCCUCACGCUAUUCGAGCGGCCGACGUCUGAUUAGCUAGUUGGUGAGGUAAAGGCUCACCAAGGCGACGAUCAGUAGCGGGUCUGAGAGGAUGAUCCGCCACACUGGGACUGAGACACGGCCCAGACUCCUACGGGAGGCAGCAGUGGGGAAUUUUGGACAAUGGGCGCAAGCCUGAUCCAGCCAUGCCGCGUGUCUGAAGAAGGCCUUCGGGUUGUAAGGACUUUUGUCCGGGAGCAAAUGCCUGGUGUUAAUAGCACUGGGAGCUGAGAGUACCGGAAGAAUAGGCACCGGCUAACUACGUGCCAGCCGCCGCCGUAAAAC
rnacentral:rRNA from 1 species